rnacentral:rRNA from 1 species
AAGGAUCAUUAUCGUAUAAAAUGGAGGUGCUGGGGCUGUCGCUGACCUUUGAAAAAGGUCGUGCACGCCCGGAGCACACUCUCUCAUAUCCAUCUCACCCCUUUGCGCAUUGCCGCGUGGGCCCCCCUUUUGGCUUGUUCCAGAGGGGGUGACCCGCGUUUUUACAUAGACACCCUUUGAAUGCAUGUGUAGAACGUCUUACUUUUUGCGAUCACACGCAAUCAAUACAACUUUCAACAACGGAUCUCUUGGCUCUCGCAUCGAUGAAGAACGCAGCGAAAUGCGAUACGUAAUGUGAAUUGCAGAAUUCAGUGAAUCAUCGAAUCUUUGAACGCACCUUGCGCCCCUUGGUAUUCCGAGGGGCACACCCGUUUGAGUGUCGUGAAUACUCUCAACCUUCUUGGUUUCUUUGACCACGAAGGCUUGGACUUUGGAGGUUUUUCUUGCUGGCGUCUUUUGAAGCCAGCUCCUCCUAAAUGAAUGGGUGGGGUCCGCUUUGCUGAUCCUCGACGUGAUAAGCAUUUCUUCUACGUCUCAGUGUCAGCUCGGAACCCGCUUUCCAACCGUCUUUGGACAAAGACAAUGUUCGAGUUGUGACUCGACCUUACAAACCUUGACCUCAAAUCGGGUGAGACUACCCGCUGAACUUAA